CUUUUUUUUUCCUCUCCGUAGAUCUCUGCCAUUGCUGUCCUCCCCAAACCCCCUCCCCUCCUCCGGCUCCGGCGCCACCAACCCCCUCGCCUCUCUCUCCGGCCCUGGGCACCUCCUGCACCUCGCAUGACCGGCCCUCGCACCCUCCGCAGCCCCACCCUGCUGCCUUCUCCUCCUAUUCCCUCCCCCAGCCUCGGAGAACCCAAGCCCCCGUGGCUCCGCACGAGCAUCGGGUCCUUCAUUCUUUGCUCGCCGCCACUUGCCGCCUGUCCCACCACCACCAGCCUACUUUUUCUCUCUCCCUUCUUGACUUUCUAUCUCUGCUACAAGCUCCCCAAACACUGCGACAACAACGAGAUCCUCAAAGCCUUUUGUGUUGAGGCCGGCUGCGUCGUGGAGGAGGAUGGCACCACCUAUCGAAAGAUCUUUUAAUGAUGGUGCGGAGCAGAUGCUAUAGUUGGUGUUUCUUUUUUUUUUCUUUUUUUUUGAUCUUCCCUCUCUUGACCUCGGCGAACCUAAGCCCCUGCGGCUUAGCCACCACCACACCCUCCCGGACAUUUUCUGUUCUCCUCGCCGCCAUCUCCAGUCAGUCUUUGCCGUCGCCUUCCCCUCCGAUCUCCCUCAGUUUGCUCGAGAAGAAACUCAGAGAAUUAAGCCAUGAAAGAUGAGUUGCAUAUCUUUUUCCUUUUUGUUAGUUUGUUUGAUCAUUCAUUAUACUUUGUAUUCUCUCAUUAGCUUAAUGAAAUGAUAUCGAUACGAAUAUAAUAGUUUCUAGAUUUUGAGAGGAGAGUUCAAUACGGCAUAACGAAGUUGAGGUUUAAUAUAUGAACUUGAGGUUCGAUACAACAUAACGAAGUUAUUGACUGCACUUAGCAGAACUCUCAAUUGGAUGGGAGGUUCGGAGUGAUCGAAUAGAAAAGUUUAGAUUCAUCUCAAACGGAUGGGAGGCUUGAAGCAACAAGAGACCUAUUCAAAGUAUCCGAGGAGGGUCGAACGAAAGGUCGAGUCGGUGAUAAUAAGAAGAAGGGUGAGACUGAUAGGAGGUGGUGACGAGGAGGAGAAUAGGGAUGAGAUUGGCCUAUUUUUAUUUUUGGAGAUCUAAAAAGAUGUUGUCUCAGCUGGAUGAGAGGUUCAGAAUGAUUAAAUAAGGAAGUUUAGAUCAAUCUCAAUUGGGUGGGAAGCUUGAACCAUCAAGAUCAAAAUAGUUGCGGUAAUUACUGUAUUUUAGCACUUCACAAGCGAUAUGACAGCAUUAUAUAUGGCAAAUUGGCAAACAAUUGUAUGCAGUAUGUGCAGAAGGCUGCUGGAUGUCCUCAUCUUCAACUUGACCUUAGUUUUCGAGAUAUGUAAAAGCCAGCGGUGAAGGCUGCAGUAGCUACAGCAAUGGUCUUUUUGUUCUUGCUGAUUGUCUCCAGAAAUCCAUCUAUCAAUCCAUAAUCCAGCCACCCUUCCAACUGCUCCUCAAAUUUCACUUUCCAAGCCAGCGCUUUCUUUUUAUAUUCUUCGAGCUUGUCAUCAGCGACGGGGCCGCUGUUUGGCUUCUGCUCUGGAAUAGGCCCUGGUUGGGCAUCUGUCGAUGGCUUCUCUUUCUGUUGGUCUUUCUGGGUUUGGGCUCCCUCUUGCUUGCCGGACGGCGCUGGUGGUGUUUCUUGCUUUUUGUUUUUAUCACAUGAAACAGCCCUUUGAGUUUCCUUUUCCGUCACCACCUUCUUGGGCAUGAAUAAAGAGAGACGUGCGUCUUCAAAUUUCCCUCGGAUCUUAUCGAUGUGUGAAUCUUUAGGAACGUCAAAAACCUGCUCCAAACGCAUGUAUUUGCCAUCACCGAGCGGCCUCUUGCCCCUUAUUGUUAGCUUCCCGCAGUUGUCAACCUGGACCUU